rnacentral:lncRNA from 10 species
UCAGAAUCUGGUAGAGCUCCUGGAGCAACCUGCAUGAUGUCACUGCUAUAGCACUAUGAUUUUCAUAUUACAUACUCUUGAGACACUUUCCAGAGUAUAUAUGGCUAUGUUAUAGCAUGCUUUGAGAACUAGAUUAAGUAAUUCCUGCAAGGCAAACCAAGUGAUGAUGAGCUCUCUCAGCUUCUGUUUGUCUGAUAAACUUUCUAUUCUCUCUCACUUCUGAAGGAAAGCUUUGCCAGGGUUUCAUUCAUUUUAAAGCUAACAGAAAAACAACAGAUUUUUAUAAUUAAGUUCCUGAGAAACCAUGAUAAAUACAGCAUUACACAUACUGUCGAUGAUAUUUUGGAUUUUGUAAGACACCAGAGAUCAAAACAUGCCAAAUUGGACUUCUUGUCAUUGUCUAUACAAACAAAACUCACAGACAUCAAAGCCACUAUGACCAUGCUGCUGAUGCAAGGACUGGUGUGUGCAAGAAAGUUUGUAUUUGGAACCAUCUCUAUCUUACACUUUUCAAACAAGAGUUAAUCUGCACAGCCGUCACUGAAUCUAUAUUGGUCAGAGUGGCCUUAUCUGAUGCUGGUGAUCUCUGGGAUUGUUUAUAUAUUGUUUGCAUUCAACAGAAGAACAACAUGGCCUCAAUGUGGGUGCCAGACCAGCUUUGGGUAUCUUUCCUUCAAAGGAUGACAUACAAUAAAAACAUAUAUGGGAUGAUUACUAUUUGCUUCCAAGAAAAAUAUUGAAGUUUGCUAUUUCUUCAUCUCAAGGUAUGAGAAAACAAAUGUUUGCAUCAGAGUGGUAAAAGAGCUAUAAUAAUUUCAAAUUAACUAAAUGUUCAAUGGCCCUUUCCUUCAGAAAAGUAAAUGCCUCUGAUUUUGUACAACUAUUCUUAAAGUCACACUUUUCUACUCCUUAGACCAUAUAGCAUUCACAGCAUUGUCUUAGGAAAAUAAUGAAUAUAACAGAAGGCUUGUGCAAAAUGUAAAAUAUGCCAUCUCUUUGAGGAAUUGUGACUUUAGCAGUGUAAUAUACUAAUAUUCCAAAAUUGUAGAGAUACUUUUAUUUUUGUAGUUUGUUUUUAAAUCCCUAACUCUUCCUUCUGUGUAUGGAAAAAUCUAAAAGCUGUGAUAAUGAAAUCAAUUUCAUCCAAUACAACAUGAUUUAUAAUGCCUUCUGUACUUUGUAUUAGUUGAGGACAAGGUCAUGAAUCAAUGUAGAUGAAGGUUUUAUUUAACUUAAGCAUCAGUGUUUUUCCUCUGUCAAAAUUUUACUUAUCAGGCUAAUAUUUGAAAAGCAUUCUAAACUUUUUUCUGUUUCUCAAAACUUUAGCUGGAAAUAUUACUUCCCUGUGUUUGGUUGAGCAGAGUAGUAGGCAGUUCUUUGUUACUUAAUACUGUUUUAACAUUUCCUUCACUGCAAUCCCUCUAUUUUAAUAGCUUUAACAAAGGUCACAUUCAGAUUAGCUCAAAUCUAUUAGAGUACACUAUAAUAUGUUGGUUUUUCAUUGAAAAUUUAUUUAGACAUCCAUCUAGGAUUUUAGACCUUCAACCCAAGGAAAAUUUAUAUGAAUACAAUAUUUUUUGCCAUUAUUUACAAAAGUAAUAUAAAGGGUUCCUUAGGCAAUUACUUAUUCAGUAGUAGGAUUUGGAACAGUCUACUUACUAUCAUGUAAUUAUUUCAAUGUGUUACAGUUUUCUUCUGAUUGUAAUUAAUCUCUUUGCAUGAGUAUCAGAUAGAAUGACUAUCUGAUUUGUGGUAACCUGCUGGACUCACAGUGUCCAGUCUGCAGGUGGAGAAAAAUAAAUAUUUUUAUAAGAAAAAUGAAGCCUUCACCUUACCAGAUAAUUUUCACUUUGUCUAAAACAAUACUUUUUUUAUGUUUGAUGUAAUUUUUCACUCAAUUAUAAAGAGUUUUCUCUUCAACAGGAGAACCAAAUCCUUAAUAAAAUCAUUGAGUUUAAGAAGUCUCAAGGGAGAGAUCACAGCUAAUGUCUACUAGUUUACUAGAGGUCCAAAAACAGUACUAUUCACUGGCAAAUACUCAGAAUAUAUUUUUGAUUCGGUUAGAAGUGGUCUGAGUGGUUGUAUGAACUUUAUUUCUAUUUCUACCCUCAUCUCCAACAAAUUCAGAUGACUGUAUAUUAAAUUUUAUCUUAUUAAACUUCAAAUAUUUUCCUGAUUUGAAAGUAAUUUUUGUCAUCUCCUCAUUUGAAGUCACAUAUAAUUCAUGAUUAACUGUGAAAAAGUUUGAAUUUGAAUACUUUCCAGUCCCUUCUUCAGAGCACUUUUGAAUGCUAGCCUCUUGAUCACUGCAGCUGCAAUUGUAAAUAUAUACUGAGCUACCAGAAUCACAGAUAGCACAAACUCUUUAUUUUUUAAGAACCUUAAAAUUCAUUAUAAUUUGCAGGUAAA